UAAGAGGAAGCCAAACAUAGCGGCACCUAACUGUUAAUUAGCUCAUUGUCCCCCCACCGACCCUCUUAA
rnacentral:tRNA from 1 species